rnacentral:rRNA from 1 species
AUUGAACGCUGGCGGCAGGCCUAACACAUGCAAGUCGAACGAGUGGCGGACGGGUGAGUAAUGUCUGGGAAACUGCCUGCUGGAGGGGGAUAACUUCUGGAAACGGUAGCUAAUACCGCAUACCAUCGGAUGUGCCCAGAUGGGAGUAGCUAGUAGGUGGGGUAAAGGCGAACCUAGGCGACGAUCCCUAGCUGGUCUGAGAGGAUGACCAGCCACACUGGAACUGAGACACGGGGCAGACGCCUACGGGAGGCAGCAGUGGGGAAUAUUGCACAAUGGGCGAAAGCCUGAUGCAGCCAUGCCGCGUGUAUGAAGAAGGCCUGCGGGUUGUAAAGUACUUGCAGCGGGGAGGCGUUACCCGCAGAAGAAGCACCGGCUAACUCCGUGCCAGCCGCCGCGGUAAUUC